rnacentral:rRNA from 1 species
GACGAAGGGGGCUAGCGUUGUUCGGAAUUACUGGGCGUAAAGCGCGUGUAGGCGGUUGUUCAAGUCAGGUGUGAAAGCCUUGAGCUCAACUCAAGAAAUGCACUUGAUACUGGAUGACUAGAGGACCGGAGAGGAUAGUGGAAUUCCCAGUGUAGUGGUGAAAUGCGUAGAGAUCCGGAGGAACACCAGUGGCGAAGGCGGUACUCUGGGCCUUACCUGACGCUGAGACGCGAAAGCGUGGGGAGCGAACAGG